AGAGUUUGAUCAUGGCUCAGAUUGAACGCUGGCGGUAGGCCUAACACAUGCAAGUCGAACGCGAAAGUCCUUCGGGAUGAGUAGAGUGGCGGACGGGUGAGUAACGCGUAGGAAUCUAUCCUGUAGUGGGGGAUAACGUUUCGAAAGGAACGCUAAUACCGCAUACGCCCCACGGGGGAAAGCGGGAGAUCUUCGGACCUCGUGCUAUAGGAGGAGCCUGCGUCGGAUUAGCUAGUUGGUGAGGUAAAGGCUCACCAAGGCGACGAUCCGUAGCUGGUCUGAGAGGAUGAUCAGCCACACCGGAACUGAGACACGGUCCGGACUCCUACGGGAGGCAGCAGUGGGGAAUAUUGCGCAAUGGGCGAAAGCCUGACGCAGCCAUACCGCGUGUGUGAAGAAGGCCUUCGGGUUGUAAAGCACUUUCAGUGGGGAGGAAAAGCGGGUGGCUAAUAUCCAUCGGCCGUGACGCUACCCACAGAAGAAGCACCGGCUAAUUCCGUG
rnacentral:rRNA from 1 species